GACCCGUCUUGAAGCACGGACCAAGGAGUCCAACAUGUGCGCGAGUCUAAGGGUUUAUUAAACCCGGAGGCGAAAUGAAAGUGAGCUCCCUUUGUUGGGGGCAGGCCGAUCCCUUGUCGUGACCUGGGCUGCGCNGGGCUACUAAGUGGCGAUGUCAAAGUUGCCUGUGGUNGUUGCGUAGUUUUGGGUUGCGGCGGCCCCUCUCGGGGGGUAUUGGGCGCAGGCCGAGGACUUGCCUUAGUGCGGCUCGGGCAACGGGUUUCUCUCUCUCGGGGGAGUCUCCUUAUCCCGAUGUCCGCCGGCAAGUACCUGAGAGCGCAGCCGUUGGGACCCGAAAGAUGGUGAACUAUGCCUGGCGAGGACGAAGCCAGAGGAAACUCUGGUGGAGGUCCGAAGCAGUUCUGACGUGCAAAUCGAUUGUCAGAGCUGGGUAUAGGGGCGAAAGACUAAUCGAACCAUCUAGUAGCUGGGUUUCCUUCCGA
rnacentral:rRNA from 1 species